GAUGAACGCUAGCUACAGGCUUAACACAUGCAAGUCGAGGGGCAGCGCAGUGUAGUAAUACAUGGGCGGCGACCGGCGCACGGGUGCGUAACGCGUAUCCAACCUUCCCGUUACUCAGGGAUAGCCUUCCGAAAGGGAGAUUAAUACCCGAUGGCGUGGUCACUCCGCAUGGAGUUUCCACUAAAGGUUUUCCGGCCGCGGAUGAGGAUGCGUAUGAUUAGGUAGUAGGCGGGGUAACGGCCCACCUAGCCUUCGAUCAUUAGGGGUUCUGAGAGGAAGGUCCCCCACACUGGAACUGAGACACGGUCCAGACUCCUACGGGAGGCAGCAGUGAGGAAUAUUGGGCAAUGGGCGCAAGCCUGACCCAGCAACGCCGCGUGAAGGAAGAAGGCUUUCGGGUUGUAAACUUCUUUGACAGGGGAAGAGUAGAAGACGGUACCCUGAAAACAAGCCACGGCUAACUACGUG
rnacentral:rRNA from 1 species